GUGGUCUCACUGAACUCAAGGAGAGAGACCGUAAAACUAUGAAAGAACAGAAGUGUUUGUUGCACUGAGACCACUAAUCUAUUUUUUCACUAAUUAAUUUUGUUCACCUCUCCCUUUCCUGUCUGUGUAAAGCAAUUACAGCCAAACAUUUAAAGGCAUUUAGAUAUCCAACUUUCACUUCUUUUUUUUUUCUAGCUUUUCAGUUUCCAAUUUUGCAUCUUUGUAGAUGAAUAAUUACUUGACAGAUGUGAAUGAAUACUUCUCUGUAUGUCCAAGCAUGGCUUUGUAGGUAGAAAAGCUUGCCUUUUUUUUUUUUUUAACCAGAUCAUGAAGAACAUAUUCCGUCCAUCUUUGAACGUCUACAAGACGAAUAUAGAAUCCAGGGUGAAUGAACUGUGACUGCAUCACAUCCAGUGUAGCAGGAGACUCUUUAAGAUCACAGCAGCCUUCAUUGAAGGAGACAAUGUUGUCAUUAUGGAAGAAGUUGCUGCCGGAAUACUAAAUUUUGACACUGACUGUGGAAUUAAUCUUGGUCUGAGAACCUUAGAAUCCUCAGAAGAAUUAAUUUAGAGGAUUGCUACAGCAAUGGAUCAGAAUGGUAUCUUCGAAGCACUUUCUGCUAAAAUACGACACCCAAAGAAAGUGACAGAAGAUUUUAAGCAGAAUGGAUUAUUUACUGCCCUGCCUGAAUGAACAUGAUGAGUGAGAUCACUGUAGUAACUAACACACAGACCCAUUCUUUUUCUGCAGUGCAAAAAAAUGGGUAGUAAUUACACACAUGCACACACAAGCUGGAGAAAAUGGCAAAGGACCUCUUUGACCCUUUGAAAAGGAAUGUAUCUUCCAUUUGCCACAAUUUUCAUUUGAAAAACAUGGUUGAAUUUCAACAAGCUUUGAAAUAAUUCAGUAAAUAACACGCAUGAGUGGCCAAAUUAUCAAAACUUGUGACUUCUUUUUUCCAAUGAAAAUAUUCUGAAAAGUAGGAGGUGGUUAAAAGUACACGGGGAAAAAACAUCUGUGAAAAGUAUCAUAACUGUUGGAGUCUCCGUUGGUUCUUAAGUUUCAAAGACAGAAGUGUGGGAUUUCUUAUUUUUUCAUAGAAACUGAAAUUUCACUGAAAACACUAUAAGCCAUAGGACUUCUAUGGCAUAUUACUCAUGUACUAGGGUAGAGCUUCAGGAGAAUUUCUUACUCUCCAUGUUGCUCUGUCAAACAACAUUUUUGCUUUUUCAUUCACAGCAUAAAUAAUUUUUACAUGAAAGGUAGUGUUUCUAUUUAGUGUAUAAUGUAUACAUAUACAUACACAUGCCUACUACUAAGAUGCUCUUUUUCUAUCUAAUUUGAAGUGUGCUAUACCUUCUUUGCAUUCAGAUACUGUAAUACUGCUGUUUACACCUAGGACAAAAUGUAUACUUCACGUAAUACAGAUGGUUGGGUUAGGAUGA